GUUGAUGGUCUUUCAUUGUCUGCAUUAAAAUCCAAAUGUCUUACCUAGCACUCAGGCAGUGUGGGAUUUGCUCCCAAUCUGCUUUUUCUAACUCGUUUCUUUCCUAUGCGUUCCCCGUACAUCCUCAGAUGUAAGCACAGGCAGCUACUAUAGGCUCCCCUACUGCCCACAAAUGCCAUGAAUUCUGACAGUGCCAGGGACUUACCAUGGUUUCCUCUUUUCCUGGAAUGCCUUGUGCAUUUGAUGAAAUUAUAUCCAUGCUUCUAAGUCCAGCUCAAAGGCCACCCUCUCUGUGAAGUUCCCCAAACCUUGCUUUUUCCUGCCCCUUAGGAAAUGAGUCACUCUCCCCUAUGAGUCUGCAGACCAGAAUGGUUCCAAAACCUGGCUGAGCACUGGAAUCAACUGAGAAGUUUUGAGAAAAUAUUGAUACCUGGGCCUUACCUCCCACAUCACGCACCAGGACAUCUGAGAAUAAGCCUGUGCAGUAGUAAUCUCUUUUUCAAAAAUCUUUGGUGCUAAAAUUUACAAAACAUAAAGUUUACUGUCUUAACCAUUUUUAAGUGUACAGUUCAGUAGUAUCAAAUAUAUCUAUAAUUUGUGAAUCCAUUUCCGGAACUCUUCUUCUUGCAAAACUAAAACUCUGUAGCCAUUAAACAACUACUGCACAUCCUCCCUCCCUG
rnacentral:lncRNA from 1 species